CACGUAGGGGGCGAGCGUUGUCCGGAUUUAUUGGGCGUAAAGAGCUCGUAGGCGGCUCAGUAAGUCAGGUGUGAAAACUCCAGGCUCAACCUGGAGACGCCACCUGAUACUGCUGUGGCUAGAGUCCGGUAGGGGAGCAUGGAAUUCCUGGUGAUAGCGGUGAAAUGCGCAGAUAUCAGGAGGAACACCAGUGGCGAAGGCGGUGCUCUGGGCCGGAACUGACGCUGAGGAGCGAAAGCAUGGGGAGCGAACAGG
rnacentral:rRNA from 1 species